AAGUGGGGGUCAUAGGGUCUCUGGAGGGUGUGUGAGAUGAGGCCUCCCUGUCCCUCUUCCCAGCCCUCACGUGUGGUCCUCAAGAGGCCACCUAAGGACCCAGGCGUGCUGUUAAUUGAGAGAGGACAGCAGCUCUGGCUGAGAUCAGGAUGCUCACCGUGGGUGGGGAGUUCCAGGGACUGGAGGCAGCAAGGGAGAUGUGGGGAGGCCACUGUGAGCAUCCUGUGGCCAGCCAGGCAGUGUCAGAGCUGGACGAGGCCGUGUGCUGCUCCGUGGACAGACAUCAGGAGGGCAGAGCAGGGAGGCCCCGUGACAGGGUGUUACAGGAAGGCUGGUGAGAGGUGUGACUUUGGUGGCUGGGUGUGAAAUUCUCUGGAGGCUUCCUCACCCCGAUGUGUGGCAGCCAGGCUGGGGGACCCCAAAUUUGGGCUCCAUUGGGGCUGUUAAUGUAGAUCCCACACCUGACUUCUCCAGGUGACUCGGGCUUCCUCAGAGCGUGGGCAUCAGGGAGGGGAAGUGAUAGUUUUUCAUGGUGCCUCAGAGCCUCAUGAGAGGGUAUUUGCAGUGAUAAUGCAGAAGCCUUUUAUGACAUCAGCUCAGAAGUCACACUGUGUCACUUUCACUAUGCUGGGUCAGCUCAGGUUCCAAGGGAGAACACAGACCUGGUUCUCAGAGGAGUAGGCUGGGCUUGGCCUUCUGUGACCCGCUGCAGGCUAGCACUUGGGCUGGCAGGUGGGGGACACGGUGUGGGGACUCUGCAGACUGUGCGUUCAAAGGGCUGAGGAGCAUCAUACUGGGAAGGGAAGGGAAAUAUACUUGAUCAGCUUUAUUUUCCUUUUUUUAAAAAAAUUUUUAAAAUAACUUUAUUAUCAAACAAACACACAUACAAAAAAUUAAAACCAUUCAGAGAAGAACAAUGCAAGGGGGAAAAAAACUACAAUAAUAUUCAAAUACAGUAGAACUCAACCAAAACAAAACUUAAAGCACUUAAACAUUUUCCCAUAUAACUUAAAAAAGCAUCUCAAACACCAACAAGACACCAGAGGAUGUGAUUUGUUUCAGAAAGAUCCCCAAAACCAAUAUUGAACAAAUAAUGAUCUGGAAAAAAACUCCAGUUAGUUAGCAGACUCCACAUAAGCCAAACUUCUCCCUAAUUUAAAUUUUGAUACAUUCAUAUGACAAGCGAUGGAAAUACAAUCCGAGAAAUAUGUUAUUAGGCCAUUUCAUCCGUGUGUAUCCUUAUUUACACUCUCAGUUUCUCACACUAGAGAAACUAUUCGGUAUUUACACAUGUGUGUCCUAUUUAUUUCACUUAAGAGUAUGGCCUCAGGAUGCAUCCAUUUAGCUGUAAACGUCUCUAGUUUCUCGUUCUUUAUGGCUGAGUAGUACUCCAUUGUAUUAAAAAACCACAUCUUCUUUAUCCAGUUUCCAGUUGAUGGGCACUUGGGCUGUUUCCAAGCUUUCACUAUUACCAACUGUGCCGCCAUAAACACGGGUGCACAUAUAUCUCUGUGGUAAGAUUCUUUUAAUUCUUAUUUUCCUUGUUUUUAUAUGCACAGAAGAUGAUGGCAAACCUUUUCCUAACAGGACCAAAAUGGAUCCUUACUAUAUGUAACCCGGUAUUUCUCUGUGGUAUCCAGCUUGGGUUUGUAGGUUUUUUCUUUUGAAGUUGUCUGCAAUAAUGGGAUAUUUUGAAUAGUUGUCCUUUAGGAUAGAUGUAAUCUAGGGUCCUCCCACAACACAUCAGCAUCUCCCACUUUGCAUCCUGCAUGGCUGUCAUUGUUAUAGCUUUGUAUUUGCUCCUAGCGAUUGGAUGUCUCACUGUGGCCUUAAUUAACCUCUUCCCAGUUUCUGAGAGGACUAGUCCUCACCUUAGUCCUUCCUCUUUCCUCCCCCUGUGAGGAGCUGUUUGAUGGUGUGGUGUGGCCCUUCUCUGAUGGGCAAGCUUAUUGCUUCCUUAUUGCUUCAUUAACCUUAUGUAUUUUGGAUACUAACUCCUCCUCACCUGUUGCAAACACCUUCUUCCAGUGUGAGUCUUAUUUCUUCACUGUAUUGGUUUUUUGUGAAACACAAGUCUUACUUUUAGUGCAGAACCUGGUUUGGAUGAGUAUCCCCCAGAAGCUUGUGAUGUAGAGGCUUGGUCCCCAGGGUGGCAUUCUUGGGAGAAGGUGGACAGUCUAGGGGGUGGGGCCUGAAGGGAGGUCUUUAGGUCGCUGGGGAAGGGGCUUGUGGGACACCCAUCGCUUCCACUUUUUCUCCUGGCUCCUGGUGUCAGUUGCCUCACUAGACACUAGCAUGGUGCACCCCCCUUUCCAGAGGCCAGAAAGAUGGGGCCAUGGGGCCAUCUGGUCCUGGAAGAGAACAUCUAGAAGAACCAAGAGCCACAAUUUUAAAAUUGUCUUUAAAAGUUAGUUGCCUUGGGUAUUUUGUUAUAGUAACAACAAGGAGACUGAUAUACAGGAGAAUUGUCCUUUUCUACCCUUAGCCCAUUCCACCCUGCAUUGGCAGUGGCAUCCUGGACACUUUCUGAUUUUCAGUGGUCACCAGAAUUGUCCUAAUCUCACACAGGGCUACCAUUUCAGAACUGAUAGAGUGGGACCUGGCAGAGGCGGGUGUCAGAGAACUGCCCUAGGGAAGACCUGGAAUCCUUUCUAUGCCUUGAGAAGCAGCAGCUCUACUGUUGCUGGGCUGAGUCCCAGAAGGAGGAUCCAGAGCUUUGGAGUCCUUGGGUGGUGCAGGCUGGAGGUGCAGCCUGGAAGUUCAGCUGUGGACACUUUACCAGGUCAGGACCGCUGCUGUUGCCAGUGCUCUGAGGGCCCAAGAGGAAGAAGCCAGGGCUCACUGAGUGAGAGAGCAGCUGUGCUGUGGCCUCUGACAGCUGGGGACUGAAUGAGAAGGUCCCCAGCUGUCCUGCAGGCCCCAGCACCUGGCCUGGACUGAAUCAGCUGUGGCUGGGUGCUGGGAUCUGCAGAGCUGAGUCCCUGGGGUGGCCCUGAGGCCUUGGCUCUGUUAAUAAAGAGCAGCACUGGGGUGCAUCAAAGUCUCAUCCUACUGCAGAAGAAACUAAGCUCAGAGAGAUUUCCAGCUUCCUCAGAUCAUUGCUCAGAGCAGUGGAUCAAGAACAAGACCCCAGGAUGUCAGCACUAAGGUCAUGUCCUUCUUAGGCUGCCACAUGUGUGGAUAGCUCCACAUGGGCACUGGACAUCCUGGAGGACUUAAGAACAAGAACACAGGAGGAGGUCUAGAUUCCCUGCUUCAGCUCUACCUUAACCUUAUACUCUCUCUCCUCGUUCUGAGCAAUUUCCACAGUCCUCCUAAACUUCAGCACCAGUGUGGCAACCUCGGAACCAGCCUUGCUCACCUGUGCCUCAGUUUCCUACCAGUGGAUGAGGAUACUGUGUGUGUUACAGAUUUCUGAGGCUCCAGGGAGAUGUAGAGUGAGAGGAGCCUAGACGAACGUCCCCACACAGUCAGGGUCCAUGCACUUCAUUGUCAUCCUGCCAUUUGAAGACUGCCCCUUCCAGGACCAACUGGUCUCUGAGCUGGACUUUCCUUCCCAGUGACAUAGGACUCUAAAUGAUAUAUGGGAAAUAGCAUAACUCUCAACCUGUUAGAUUUCACAUACACCAAGUUUGUGUUCUCCAAAAUUAAACAAUGAAUUUUAAGUAACAACGGAGGUUGAGAGUUGGAAAUCUUUUUUAUUUUUUUGGUACCAG
rnacentral:lncRNA from 1 species